rnacentral:lncRNA from 1 species
GUCCAUGAAGUGUUGUUUUCUGUAAUGGAAGCCAUGGAGAGUUCUGGGGCUGAUCCUGAUGAUGAUGAAAUUUCAGUCAUUUGGACUACUAACCCACUCCAGUGGGAAAGCUUACUCUUGACUAGACAGUAUUGUUAGACUUGGUUGCUUGGAAUGGACUUCAUUGGCAUGAGGGUAAACUAAGAAACUCCUGGAGCCAGAAGGUGGUUUGGAAAGGUACUGUCUCAGUUUUGGGCUUUGUAUCAUGAACAUCUAGAAAUAGCAUUACUAAAACUGAGCAUGAAAGUGACAAAUUUAGAAGUUGUGGUUUUGGUUUUGACUGCUUUGUAGUGGAAGAGAUGUCAGGGUCAGUACAGACCAGAUGACAGAGCUUGCUUCUGAGCCACCACAGGUGUCUACAUAGGAUUCAGAAACACAGCUUGUUAUUCUCAGGUAGCUGAGGACUAAAUAAAGCUGCCAGACUGUAGCUGGUGGGUUAGAUAAAAGCUAUUGGAGAGUUGUUUAUCUGCAAAGAAGCUGUCUUUCUCCUGCAUGCACAGUGAAGACCCUAGGCAAAGGGGUGAUGUGCUUCAUUUACUGAAUAUGACCAUUAUCAAGGUGUCAAUAAGUACUGUGAUUAAGGGGUCCAUUUUGUAUGGUGUCACCUCUGCUAUAACUGUGUUGCUGUAAAAUCAAGCUAAAGACUGAGUUCUUAUCAGAUAUUCUCUCAGCCCUCUUUCAGUUUUAAACUUAAAAUAUUAGUAAAAACAGGUAGGGGACCUUGGUGUGGUGGCACACACCUUUAAUCCCAGCUCUUGGGAGGCAGAAGCAGGCGGAUUUCUGAGUUGGAGGCCAGCCUGGUCUACAAAGUGAGUUCCAGGACAGCCAGGGCUACACAGAGAAACCCUGUCUCGAAAACAAAACCAGAACAAAACCAGGUAGGGGUGGGGAGAAGGUGGUCAAGGACUAAGUUUUGCAGUGAUUAUUUUCCAGUGGGAUUGAAGCAAAGGCCUUGUGUGUGGUGUGCGUAUGUGUUUGGGUAUGUGCUAGCCUUGUCUUGACCUUCCCCUCCCCCUCCCCCUCCCCCUCUCCUCCUCCCUCCCCCUUCCCCCUACUGCAUUUGGUUGUGGAGGGAGCCAGCUACUGAGCCCCAGAGAUCCUUCUGUCUGCCUCCAAAGGGCUGGGUUUGCUGGGAAUCUCAGUUUAUAAGCACUUUUUUGAAGGAGUGCUAUUUCUUCAGACCCUAAAACAAAAGUCUCUAAUGCUUCUCUGUUGGGUAUACCCCUGAGAUUCCAUGAUGUUUCUAAAACAUUAAUUGAUCUUGCUUGGAAUAGUAUAAAAGGCUGGAAGAUACUGAUUUUUUUGUUUAUUGUGAAGACUUGUGUAUGUUUUCAUUUCUAUUUUUAUUUUAUGUGUAUUUUGCUUGCCCACGUGUAUGUCUGUGUAACGUGUGUGUGUCUGCUGCCCUUGGAGCACAGAAAAGGGUGUUGUAUCCCCAUAACUGGAGUUAGAGAUGGUUGUGAGACACCAUGUAGGUGCUAGGAGCUGAGUCCUCUGGAAGACCAGGAAGUGCUUUUAACUGCUGAGCUAACUCUCCAGACACUCUUGUCUGUGUUUUGAGUUGAUUUCAUAAAAAUUAUUUUCUUUGGCUUAGAUUUAAAUUCCUUAUCCACUUACUUGAUUCCUCUCCUCAAUCUUUGAAGAUUUUUUUAAAAAACAAAAGUACUUUAAGUCUUUCUGGCAAUUCAGUUCUCUAAUCAUCUUUGUUUUACAUUGUUGCCAUACUGUCCAGUUUGUGGGUCUGUUCUAGUGGCGUGUUGUCUAACACCUACACAGGAAUUGGAGUUUGUCUAACACCUACGCAGGAAUUGGAGUUUCCCUUGAAUAGAUAAUAAUUUUUAUUUAGUAGAUACCCUGCUGGUCCUUUUACAAAGCACGAAUUCUGGUGUAGCUGUGGAUAUGUAUGUGAGAAUAAGUAGUGGCCAAUCAAUAAAGCAUAGCCAGCCACUGUUAGUCACCUUGUUUUCAGUAUCUACCUCAGUUCUGCUUGAAGUUGAGUUCUCUAGCAAGUCUAGCUUUCAGCACAGUAUGCUGUUGUGUACUGUCAGGCAGGGAGAAGGCUGAGUGAAGUCUUCUUUUAGAGUCUUCCCACUGAGUGUCCUAAGACUACUGCUCUGUAGCCUACUCUUGACUCCCUCUACCCGGUCUUAUAGAUCUUCUUUUUCCUUUUCUUACAUCACUGCACCUGUGAGUGUCAAGAGGAAGGCAAAGAAUUGUGUUUGCUGUGGUCUCUGUAUUCACAAAGCUAAUCACUGCUAAUUCAAGCCUAAAUGUUAAAUAACAAGAUACAAUUUUCAAUUUGAAUGGUGUUAAACUGUAUUAAAAUAAGAGUCACCCACGGCCAGUGAGAUGGCCCAAGGUGGUGAAGAUGCCUGACAACCGGCCUGACAACAUGCACUCUGUUGGUCAGAAAGCACAUUCUAGAAGGAGGUAAUUGACUCCCACAAAUUGUCCUCUGACCUCGAUCCUCAUCCUGUGGAAUAUAUUAGCACACACACUAAACAUUUUUCUAAAGUUUUAAAAAACAUUCUAAAGAAAGACAAAAGAAAAAUUAAUAAACGAAAAAAGAGCUUUU